GAACAAGCUAACUAAGUUGCAUAAAUAUUCUCCUAUCAUCUAUCAAAUAAACUUCAUUCAAAAUAUGUUGCUCAAAAGUAUGAAAUCACUCCCACUGACCUUGUUGUAACUAAGCAUUCAAUUGAAACCUUAAGAAAAACAUAACACUUAUAUUUUCUUGAUUUGAAUGCAUAUAGCUCCCACUAACUUGUCUUGGAUCUAUUGACAAUCUUUGAGAUCCAUUAGCUUAUUGAUGAUGUCUCAACAGUUUUGGACAAUCAACAAUUCAAGCUAACACAAGUUAUUUAAACGAACAUACACAAAAGAAUUCCUUCUUAAGUAAUUCCAUUUGAAAUGUGUGACUUGUUUUAUCAAGUCCAUUCAUCUAAAUUAUAUGGUGUCAAACAUCAUAUUUCAAGUUUUAUUCAUACUAAAACCUUUUAAAGUAGUCAUAUAAGAAUUAUCCAAAUCAUUAGUGGAAGCAUGGCUCUUACUAAGGAUAUAGGAGUUCAACCAUACCUUCUAGGUGGUUGAUUUAAUUCCUUAUUAAGACUACAUAGAGCAUUAUGGUUACAUGAGGUGUCGAAAUCGGACUGUCUAGUUGUUAAACUAUAUGUUGUGACUCAUUUUGAAACUAUUCCCUUUUGUUUCAUCAACUUGUCCAUUUGCUUUGUACUUAGCUUGUUCUCAUAAAAGAGAAUGAUGGACAACUCCCAACACAUAACGAUUUUGUGCUAGGUUGGUGAAACCAACAUUCAUAGGUUAUUCUUAGAAUGUUACACAACAUAGAAUUUUAACGCUUCAAAGAGCUUGAGACCUUUUAACAAUUAAAAUUACAAGAUCAUUAAUAGUAGUAAAGUACUAUUAAUUUUAGACAACUAUAAACCAAUCAUAUUCAAGUUUAUAUCCUUUUCUCACCUCCCACUGUUUCUCAUGACCUUAAUGAGAAAUCGCAUUAUACAUUCAUAGUGUAUAAUUAUAAAGUAUACGGGGUAGAGGACAUUGUGGAGUAGCUUAGAACCUUUUAAGCUUAUUAUUCCAACUCCACUAAGUUCAUGUCUUGUUAUUAAGUGACUAAAGUCUUUAAACCUUUUAUAGAUUUAGACACUUCAUCAUUGGUUUGAUCACUAACAUAUUUGACAUUUCUUAAAACAAUUUAAGAAUGUCCAAUUAGUUGUUUGAAACUUACUAAUUGAACCAAGAGUGAUCUUGGUUAUUGUGGUUAAGUAAGUGAUAACCAUAUAAGAAACGUUUUUCUUAUGUAUUACUUAUGUCAUUAUAAUGUGAUCUUCCUUUUCUUCAAGAAAGGAAUCUCUAGACUUUCUCAAUUCAUAUAGAACUCAUAUGUAGGCAAUUUGGAACCAAAUCUAAAGAUUCAUUGUAUCCAUCUAUGGCCAACAUGUAAGAUCUAUCCUUAAUUGAUAAAUCCAAGGUUUGGAUAUCGCAUUAUAUAAGUGAUACAUUUCUUGUAUCUCAACUAGAAUACAACAAGACAAUUUUCAAUUCAUAAUACUACUUUUGAGGAACAAAUUUAGUAGAAGGCAUUCAUCACAUUACAUUGAUAUGAUAAGUUAAACAUUCAUAAUGUUUUAAUACAAAAGAAUUAGCUCCUACAUUAGAGACUAAUUAUAUACCUUCAUAUAGGCACCAAAAGUGGGUCUUCCAUCAUAUGAAGCCACAUAAUAAGUUCUUAGCAAAAUAAGAAAGUUUAAAGACUAUCUUUAAUGUGCCUAACAAACUUCCUAAGUAGUUAGCAAAAAAAUAAUGGCUGAACCUUUCAUUCCAUUCUCUUUUCUUUGCUCGUCCAUCUUCUACUUGGCUCCAUCACCUACAUACAAUUUCAUAAGUGAUUAGCAUUUUAUAUCAAAUAUAAAGAUUAGAAGAUCUAACAAUUAGAAUUGAAGAUAAGAACAAAAGCCAUACCUUAUGGCUUGUCCUUCAGAGAUGCUAGGUAUAACCUGCAAUUCC
rnacentral:lncRNA from 1 species